CGGGUCGGCCAGGCGGCCGCGUCGCCCGCAAGGGCGCCGAGGAACGUCCGGGCUCCGCAGAGCAGGGCGGUGGGUAACACCCACCCGGAGCGAUCCGCGAGAAAGCGCAACAGAGAGCAGACCGCCGGCCUCGGCCGGUAAGGGUGAAACGGUGGGGUAAGAGCCCACCAGCGCCCCGGGCGACCGGGGCGGCUAGGCAAGCCUCGCCCGGAGCAAGGCCAGACAGGGGACCAUGGGGCUGCUCGUCCCGUCCCCGGGUAGGCCGCUGGAGUCGUGCGGCAACGCACGACCGAGAUGGAUGGCCGUCCACGACAGAACCCGGCGUAUCGGCCGGCCCGUUCA
rnacentral:RNase_P_RNA from 2 species